rnacentral:rRNA from 1 species
AUUGAACGCUGGCGGCAUGGCUAAAACAUGCAAGUCGAACGCGAAAGUGGGGCUUGCUCCACGAGUAGAGUGGCGAAAGGGCGAGUAAUGCGUUUCUAACGUACCCCAGGGUCGAGGACAACUCACCGAAAGGUGAACUAAUACUUGAUAAUCCCACCUGCCGUAUGGCGUGGUGGGCAAAGGCUUGCUGCCCUGGGAGCGGGGAACGUGCUAUCAGGUUGUUGGUGAGGUAACGGCUCACCAAGCCUAAGACGGCUAGCGGGUGUGAGAGCACGGCCCGCCGCAUCGGGACUGAGACACUGCCCGGACUCCUACGGGAGGCUGCAGUAACGAAUAUUCCGCAAUGCGCGAAAGCGUGACGGAGCAAUGCCGCGUGCAGGAUGAAGCCUCUCGGGGUGUAAACUGCUGUCAGGAGCUAGAAACACAAUGAUCAGCUCCAGAGGAAGAGCCGGCUAACUCUGUGCCAGCAGCCGCGGUAAUACAGAGGGCUCGAGCGUUAAUCGGAAUCACUGGGCUUAAAGGGUGCGUAGGCGGGCCUGCAAGUGCUUUGUGAAAUCCCACGGCUCAACCGUGGAAUUGCUUGGCAGACUGCAGGUC